rnacentral:rRNA from 1 species
CCUACGGGCGGCAACAGUGAGGAAUAUUGGUCAAUGGACGAGAGUCUGAACCAGCCAUGUAGCGUGCAGGAUGACUGCUCUAUGAGUUGUAAACUGCUUUUGUAAGGGAAUAAACCGAGGCACGUGUACCUUUUUGCAUGUACUGUACGAAUAAGGAUCGGCUAACUCCGUGCCAGCAGCCGCGGUAAUACGGAGGAUUCGAGCGUUAUCCGGAUUUAUUGGGUUUAAAGGGAGCGUAGAUGGUUGGUUAAGUCAGAUGUGAAAGUUUGAGGCUCAACCGUGAAAUUGCCAUUGAUACUGGCCGUCUUGAGAACAGUUGCGGUAGGCGGAAUGCAUGGUGUAGCGGUGAAAUGCUUAGAGAUCACGCAGAACACCGAUUGCGAAGGCAGCUUACUAAGCUGUGACUGACAUUGAUGCACGAAAGUGUGGGGAUCAAACAGGAUUAGAUACCCCAGUAGUC